rnacentral:rRNA from 1 species
AUUGAACGCUGGCGGCAGGCCUAACACAUGCAAGUCGAACGAGUGGCGGACGGGUGAGUAAUGUCUGGGAAACUGCCUGAUGGAGGGGGAUAACUACUGGAAACGGUAGCUAAUACCGCAUACCAUCAGAUGUGCCCAGAUGGGAUUAGAUAGUUGGUGGGGUAACGGCGCACCAAGGAGACGAUCCCUAGCUGGUCUGAGAGGAUGACCAGCCACACGUGCACUGAUACACGGUACAGACGCCUACGGGAGGCACGAGUGGGGAAUAUUGAACAAUGGGCGCAAGCCUAAGGCAGCCAUGCCGCGUGUAUGAAGAGGGCGUUCGGGUUGUAGAGGACUUUCAGCGGGGAGGCGUUACCCGCAGAAGAAGCACCGGCUAACUCCGUGCCAGCCCCCGCGGUAAUUC